GACGAACCGUGCGAACGUUGUUCGGAAUCACUGGGCUUAAAGGGCGCGUAGGCGGCUCCGCAAGUCGGGGGUGAAAUCUUUCGGCUCAACCGGAAAAGUGCCCCCGAUACUGCGGGCUCGAGGGGAGUAGGGGCGGACGGAACUUCCGGUGGAGCGGUGAAAUGCGUUGAUAUCGGAAGGAACGCCGGUGGCGAAAGCGGUCCGCUGGGUCCCCACUGACGCUGAGGCGCGAAAGCCAGGGGAGCAAACGGG
rnacentral:rRNA from 1 species